rnacentral:piRNA from 1 species
UGAUGAUUGUUUAUGGUUAGAAUCUGUUC